rnacentral:rRNA from 1 species
AGUGAACGCUGGCGGUAGGCCUAACACAUGCAAGUCGAACGGCAGCACAGUAAGAGCUUGCUCUUACUGGUGGCGAGUGGCGGACGGGUGAGGAAUACAUCGGCAUCUACUUUUUCGUGGGGGAUAACGUAGGGAAACUUACGCUAAUACCGCAUACGACCUACGGGUGAAAGCAGGGGAUCUUCGGACCUUGCGCGAUUGAAUGAGCCGAUGUCGAAUUAGCUAGUUGGCGGGGUAAAGGCCCACCAAGGCGACGAUCCGUAGCUGGUCUGAGAGGAUGAUCAGCCACACUGGAACUGAGACACGGUCCAGACUCCUACGGGAGGCAGCAGUGGGGAAUAUUGGACAAUGGGCGCAAGCCUGAUCCAGCCAUACCGCGUGAGUGAAGAAGGCCUUCGGGUUGUAAAGCCCUUUUGUUGGGAAAGAAAAGCAGCAGGUUAAUACCCCGCUGUUCUGACGGUACCUAAAGAAUAAGCACCGGCUAACUUCGUG